GGAUCAUUAUCGUACAACCGAGGUGCGCGGGCUGUCGCUGAUCUUCAAACGUCGUGCACGCCCGAGCGCUCUCGCACAAUCCAUCUCACCCCCUUUUUGUGCAUCACCGCGCGCGUCCCCCCCUUUGCGGGGGAGGGCUCGCGUUUUCACAUAAAACUUGAUACAGUCUAGAAUGUUUUGUUUUUGCGGUCACACGCAAUCAAUACAACUUUCAACAACGGAUCUCUUGGCUCUCGCAUCGAUGAAGAACGCAGCGAAAUGCGAUACGUAAUGUGAAUUGCAGAAUUCAGUGAAUCAUCGAAUCUUUGAACGCACCUUGCGCCCCUUGGCAUUCCGAGGGGCACACCCGUUUGAGUGUCGUGAAAUCCUCAAAACCCCCUUUUCCUUUCAUCGGUAUGGGGAUUUUGGACUUGGAGGUUCAAUGCUCGCUUUUGCCUUUGAAAGCGAGCUCCUCUUAAAUGAAUCAGUGGGGUCCGCUUUGCUGAUCCUUGACGUGAUAAGAUGUUUCUACGUUUUGGACCUGGCACUGUUUUCUCCGCUCCUAAUCGUCUCAUUGACAAUGAUGGUGCUUCGGUCCCCUGCCAUCUCCACGUUGGCGGGAGGCUGGACCCACGAAAAGACCUUGACCUCAAAUCGGGUGAGACUACCCGCUGAACUUAAGCAUAUCAAUAAGCGGAGGAAAAGAAACUAACAAGGAUUCCCCUAGUAACUGCGAGUGAAGCGGGAAAAGCUCAAAUUUAAAAUCUGGUGGUCUUUGGCCAUCCGAGU
rnacentral:rRNA from 1 species